rnacentral:tRNA from 1 species
GGGCGGGUAGCUCAGCUGGGAGAGCACCGGCCUUACAAGCCGGGGGUCACAGGUUCGAUCCCUGUUCCGCCCACCA